rnacentral:rRNA from 1 species
AUUGAACGCUGGUGGCAUGCUUUACACAUGCAAGUCGAACGGCAGCGGGGUAGUGCUUGCACUACUGCCGGCGAGUGGCGAACGGGUGAGUAAUAUAUCGGAACGUACCGAGUAAUGGGGGAUAACCAAUCGAAGAUUGGCUAAUACCGCAUACGUCCUGAGGGAGAAAGCGGGGGAUCGCAAGACCUCGCGUUAUUCGAGCGGCCGAUAACUGAUUAGCUAGUUGGUGGGGUAAAGGCCUACCAAGGCGACGAUCAGUAGCGGGUCUGAGAGGACGAUCCGCCACACUGGGACUGAGACACGGCCCAGACUCCUACGGGAGGCAGCAGUGGGGAAUUUUGGACAAUGGGGGCAACCCUGAUCCAGCCAUGCCGCGUGUAUGAAGAAGGCCUUCGGGUUGUAAAGUACUUUUGUUAGGGAAGAAAAGGGAAGUGCUAAUACCACUUUUUGCUGACGGUACCUAAAGAAUAAGCACCGGCUAACUACGUG